UUUAUUAAUCAUAGUUCAAUAUUUACUAAUACAUUAUUAAAAUCCAAACUUAUACUUGAGUUAAUGCACACAAACUGACAACGAACAACUCUAUCUCCCUUAACUAACCUCAACUAACAUGAAUAAACAGUGUGAUGAAUACCUUGUUCGCUCGUGUUAGUGAAUACAUCAACUAUUAACUAAUAUUAACCAAUACAGCCCUAUUGUAAAGUGUUAUUAAGGCGCAUUACGCAUGCACUGCACGCCUCUUUAACAAACCAGAGAAUCAAUCACAAUUAUCUAUAUCACAACUAAUAACCAUCAACCAAUGUUUGGCGAUCGUGACAACCUGUGCUCGUGAUCGUUACCUGCGAUGUGUCCAUGAUGGAGUUAUAUCAGCAUAGAUAAUAUUCAUCGAAAUAUCCCACCGUAUCUUCUUCCCAGUAGCAUCCAAACAAGUUACACUAUUUCAUGCUAGGACACGUGAAUAAAAUGAUAAUCCCCGUCGCUUUAGGACGCAAUCACCAUCAUCAUCAUCAUCAUCUAGAUAGAUCAACCAGCUAAGCAGUCUAGUAUUAAAGAAGCCCGUGUAACAGGAUCGGUUGCACAACAGGAUCCAGCUGGUAGCAUUAAUAGGAGUAAGGUUAUAUAUGCGCUGAAGAGAUCAAAAAAGGCAUUUAAACAUUAAAUGUUUGUGUGUUUCAAAUCACGAAGCAUGUGAAUGUUAAAGACAGAGUAUCCACUGGCCGAAGGGUUUGUUUUCACUGCCCAUGGCCAUGACGGACUCGCCGAAUACAGACGCGUAAAACACCUGACAUCGACACUUUUAAGAUUAGCAACCGUCUCUAAUCUCAUAUCCAACCACUGGUGCCUUUAGAGAAGCACAACACAGCUCUUAAUACACGAUUUUGCUUUAAUACAGCACUGCUGGGUGUGUUUAUCAGUUCAUCUGAACGGUGACCGAUCGCGUAUUUCAACAUUAUAUGAAAAUACAUUUCAUAGUACAUGCUGCAAAAUAGACCAGAAUUAGGAAGGCUAACACUCUUGCUAACGGCGGCUAAAAUAUCCUCGCUCGCGCCGUCAGGAGCGAUCUCCGAUCCCGCGUCCUCUCGCCGCUAUCUCUGGGCGAGGAGUUAAAGUGUUACCGCAGAUGGCAGGUGUGGAUAUCCGCUGUUCCAGAUUUCAGAUAAAAGUUAUCUCCAUCCUCUCCCGUUCAGCGCCAUCUUUCCCGCGGGGCACGCCGGGUAAUCCUCAGGAAUCCCGACGCGACGCGUUCGCUGCUCGUCCCGGAGUGCAGGAAUGCUGGGAUCAUCAGGAGGAAAGAGCGAUGAUGAUGAUGACACUUAUUUUUAACUGAGGAAACCUCGGGUCUACAUGAUGAGAAGUUAAUACUAGCAGGAAGUGACACAUAUUCAUAUCCACAAACGUAUUGUUAUGGUG